AUAAACGCUGGCGGCGCACAUAAGCCAUGCAAGUUGAACGGACUUAAUCGAAAUAUUUAUAUUUUGAAGCGGUUAGUGGCGGACUGGUGAGUAACGCGUAAGGAACCUGCCUAUUAGAGGGGAGUAACAGUGAGAAAUCAUUGCUAAUACCGCAUAUGCCAUAGAUAUCACAUGAUAACAGUGGGAAAGGAGCAAUCCGCUAAUAGAUGGCCUUGCGUCUGAUUAGAUAGUUGGUGGGGUAACGGCCUACCAAGUCGACGAUCAGUAGCCGGACUGAGAGGUUGAACGGCCACAUUGGGACUGAGAUACGGCCCAGACUCCUACGGGAGGCAGCAGUCGGGAAUAUUGCGCAAUGGAGGAAACUCUGACGCAGUGACGCCGCGUAUAGGAAGAAGGUUUUCGGAUUGUAAACUAUUGUCGUUAGGGAAGAGAAAGGACAGUACCUAAGGAGGAAGCUCCGGCUAACUACGUG
rnacentral:rRNA from 1 species